GACGAACGCUGGCGGCGUGCUUAACACAUGCAAGUCGAACGGAAAGGCCUUUUCGGAGGUACUCGAGUGGCGAACGGGUGAGUAACACGUGGGUGAUCUGCCCUGCACUCUGGGAUAAGCCUGGGAAACUGGGUCUAAUACCGGAUAGGACCGCACUUUAGUGUGUGUGGUGGAAAGUUUUUUCGGUGUAGGAUGAGCCCGCGGCCUAUCAGCUUGUUGGUGGGGUAAUGGCCUUCCAAGGCGGCGACGGGUAGCCGGACUGAGAGGUUGGUCGGCCACAUUGGGACUGAGAUACGGCCCAGACUCCUACGGGAGGCAGCAGUGGGGAAUAUUGCACAAUGGGCGCAAGCCUGAUGCAGCGACGCCGCGGGGGGGAUGACGGCCUUCGGGUUGUAAACUCCUUUCGCCAGGGACGAAGCGUUUUGUGACGGUACCUGGAGAAGAAGCACCGGCUAACUACGUG
rnacentral:rRNA from 1 species